GCGUUGGUUGGCUCAGUCGGUAGAGCGCUCGCUUCGCGUCCGAAAGAACCGAGUUCGAUUCCGCUCGCGGA
rnacentral:tRNA from 1 species